UUAUCAAACCUUCUUUAAAAGAAGUGCAGUUCAAAAAGAAAUAAUACUUUUCAUGGUAAAAUGAGAAAAAAAAUACAUUUGAAUAACAUAGGAAUGUUAAUAAAAAUCUCAGAGCUGGAUCUGAGAACUGUCUUGUUCUCCAAGGCAUUCUUCCUAUGGCCUGGAUGUUUCUUAUAGAGGUUUAUAUCACCCUCUUGUAAAAACAACAACCAACUCUGAUGAUGGAGACUCAGACUCAAAUGGUCUGUUUCAGUGUUCUUGUAAAGUUUUAAUUAACAUCUAAUCUAAACCUCCUUUGCUGCAAGUUAUUUCUAACAGUUCUAUCUACUUUGAGUUCUAAAAGCAUUCUCUUUGCAGAAGAUUUUGCAUAUUUUGAAAUAUCUUCUUUUAUAGAUCUGGAAGACUAAUUUUUCAACUUUCCUCUGAAUUCCUCCUAGGUUUUGGACCACUCACUGUUCGCCUCUAGACUUUGUCCAUGUGAUUCAUAUCUUUAUCAUAGUAUGGGCUUGGCUUUUGAAGCGUGGCAGCUGUGGCCUUACAGUCCUGAGUAGUGAAGUGUUACAUGCAGCUCUUGACACGUAAGAAGACAACCAUGGCCCCCUCAUUAGAAAGAAAGAGACAGUACUACAGAACAAAGCUUCUCAGACUGAAAAUCUCUGGUUAGAUCAGGUUCACAUUUGGGUUUUAUUGCUGGAUGUUUUGGGCACUAGUGACAGUAAAUGAUGGCACUUCUUUUCAACAUUUUGCCAUGCAUUUUCACAGGUUUGUUCACCUUUUUUUAUUUUUUUCAGAAUAUAAUAAAGAAAUUAUUUAUCUUGCGUCAAAUUUUAAAAUUAGGGUAAAUCAAUGUGGCAUUUGAAAUUAUCUACAGUGCUUCAUUUUGUUAGUGAAGGAUGUUUCCUUGUUUCCUUAUA